AACAGGCUUAUCUCCCCCAAGAGUCCACAUCGACGGGGAGGUUUGGCACCUCGAUGUCGGCUCAUCACAUCCUGGGGCUGUAGUAGGUCCCAAGGGUUGGGCUGUUCGCCCAUUAAAGUGGUACGCGAGCUGGGUUCAGAACGUCGUGAGACAGUUCGGUCCCUAUCCGUCGCAGGCGUAGGAAAUUUGAGAAGACCUGUCCUUAGUACGAGAGGACCGGGAUGGACGUACCUCUGGUGUACCAGUUGUCCUGCCAAGGGCAUGGCUGGGUAGCUAUGUACGGAAUGGAUAAGCGCUGAAAGCAUCUAAGCGCGAAGCCAAC
rnacentral:rRNA from 1 species